UGUAGAACUGCAUCCCAAAACUAUUUGGCUAGAGUGUGGGAGAGGAAGAUGGAAUUAGUUGUGUAGGGGUAAAAUCCGUAGAGAUAACUAGGAAUACCAAAAGCGAAGGCAAUCUUCUGGAACAUUACUGACGCUGAGGCGCGAAAGCGUGGGGAGCAAACAGGAUUAGAUACCCUGGUAGUCCACGCCCUAAACGAUGAAUGUUAGUCGUCGGGUAGCUAGUCUGUUCGGUGAUGCAGCUAACGCAUUAAACAUUCCGCCUGGGGAGUACGGUCGCAAGAUUAAAACUCAAAGGAAUAGACGGGGACCCGCACAAGUGGUGGAGCAUGUGGUUUAAUUCGAAGAUACGCGAAGAACCUUACCUAGCCUUGACAUAUAUUAGAACUCCGCAGAGAUGUAGAGGUGCCUUCGGGAGCUUUUAUACAGGUGCUGCACGGCUGUCGUCAGCUCGUGUCGUGAGAUGUUGGGUUAAGUCCCGCAACGAGCGCAACCCUCGUCACUAGUUACUAACGGUUCGGCCGAGGACUCUAGUGAGACUGCCUUCGUAAGGAGGAGGAAGGUGAGGACGACGUCAAGUCAUCAUGGCCCUUACGGCUAGGGCAACACACGUGCUACAAUGGCCAGGACAAUGAGAAGCGAUACCGCGAGGUGGAGCAAAUCUAUAAACCUGGUCUCAGUCCGGAUUGUAGUCUGCAACUCGACUACAUGAAGCUGGAAUCACUAGUAAUCGUAGAUCAGCUAUGCUACGGUGAAUACGUUCCCGGGUCUUGUACUCACCGCCCGUCACACCAUGGGAGUUGAUUUCACCCGAAGCGGGGAAGCUAAACUGGCUACCCUCCACGGUGGAAUUAGCGACUGGGGUGAAGUCGUAACAAGGUAACC
rnacentral:rRNA from 1 species